UAAGGUGACUAUAGCGGUGGGGCUCACCUCUUCCCAUUCCGAACAGAGAAGUUAAGACCACCAGCGCUGAUGGUACUGCGGUAAAACGUGGGAGAGUAAGUCGUUGCCUUUU
rnacentral:rRNA from 1 species